rnacentral:rRNA from 1 species
AUUUUGGACAAUGGGGGAAAACCUGAUUCAGCCAUCUCGCGUGUAUGAUGAAGGCCUUCGGGUUGUAAAGUACUUUUGGCAGAGAAGAAAAGGUACUUCCUAAUACGAGGUACUGCUGACGGUAUCUGCAGAAUAAGCACCGGCUAACUACGUGCCAGCAGCCGCGGUAAUUCGUAGGGUGCAAGCGUUAAUCGGAAUUACUGGGCUUAAAGGGUGUGGAGGGAGUUCGGAAAGAAAAAUGUGAAAUCCCAGGGCUCCACCUUGGAACCGCCUUUUUAACUUGCGAGGUAGGGUAUUUCAGGGGGGGGGAAAAAUUCACGUGGAGGAGUGAAAAUCGGAGAUAAGGGGGAGAAUAACGAUGGCGGAGGGCGCCCCCUGGGAUAAUACUGGCGCACAGACGCGAAAGCGUGGGGAGCAAACA